AGUGAACGCUGGCGGUAGGCCUAACACAUGCAAGUCGAACGGCAGCACAGUAAGAGCUUGCUCUUACGGGUGGCGAGUGGCGGACGGGUGAGGAAUACAUCGGAAUCUACUUUUUCGUGGGGGAUAACGUAGGGAAACUUACGCUAAUUCCGCAUACGACCUACGGGUGAAAGCAGGGGAUCUUCGGACCUUGCGCGAUUGAAUGAGCCGAUGUCGGAUUAGCUAGUUGGCGGGGUAAAGGCCCACCAAGGCGACGAUCCGUAGCUGGUCCGAGAGGAUGAUCAGCCACACUGGAACUGAGACACGGUCCAGACUCCUACGGGAGGCAGCAGUGGGGAAUAUUGGACAAUGGGCGCAAGCCUGAUCCAGCCAUACCGCGUGGGUGAAGAAGGCCUUCGGGUUGUAAAGCCCUUUUGUUGGGAAAGAAAAGCAGCAGGUUAAUACCCCGCUGUUCUGACGGUACCCAAAGAAUAAGCACCGGCUAACUUCGUG
rnacentral:rRNA from 1 species